rnacentral:tRNA from 1 species
GGGGUUGUGGCUUAGUGGUAUAGCGCUUGCCUGGUACGUCCAAGGCCCUGGGUUCAAACCUCAGCACCUCA